CCUACGGGUGGCAGCAGUGAGGAAUAUUGGUCAAUGGGCGGGAGCCUGAACCAGCCAAGCCGCGUGAGGGAAUAAGGUACAGCGUAUCGUAAACCUCUGUUGUCAGGGAACAAAGGCGGGGACUAGUCCCCGGAUGAGGGUAGCUGAAGAAAAAGCAUCGGCUAACUCCGUGCCAGCAGCCGCGGUAAUACUGAGGAUGCGAGCGUUAUCCGGAUUUAUUGGGUUAAAGGGGUGUGCAGGCGGGCUGUUAAGUCAGCGGUAAAAGCCCGGGGCCCAACCCCGGCGAGCCGUUGAAACUGGCGGGCUGGAGUUGGAGAGAAGUACGCGGAAUGCGCGGUGUAGCGGUGAAAUGCUUAGAUAGCGCGCAGAACCCCAAUUGCGAAGGCAGCGUACCGGCUCCAAACUGACGCUGAGGCACGAAAGCGUGGGUAUCGAACAGGAUUAGAUACCCGGGUAGUC
rnacentral:rRNA from 1 species